UAAAUAUAAAAUAUGUAGGUUAUAAAUGAUAAAUGUGACUAUUGAUGAAGCAGAAGCAGGAGAAAAGUGGAAAAUUUUAACAACUGAAUCAAUGUAAAAUCAAUGUAAGGUUUCUCUUUACAGUAUCACCCUUAGACCUAGGCAAGAUGGGGCCCCACCUUGGACCCUGCAUUUUAGAAAGUCCAAUCCCGCCCUUCUCCACAGGCUGGGGAGAUCACAAGACCAAGAGGACAUGUGCAGCCAGAGCCCAUGAACUCCCUUCUUAAGCCUGAUCUAGGUACCCAGGACCCAGCGUUUCCUGCUCGAUUUAGACCUGCACUCUCUUCCCAAGGGAGGGACCACACCGCUGUGUGCAAGGUGGAGCAGGGAGGGAGGCCAUGGAGGUCUGGCCAGGUGACCACACACUGUACACAAAGCCCUUCUCAGUGCAGAAUGGAGCAGCAUGUGAAAGCAAAAGAGAAAUUCCCUAGGCUGGGCACCAGGGGCCAGUUGUCCCCUUACCACUACGUUCUGGCACAGAACUCCGAGGAGUUGGAAAAUUCUAUUCAAAUCUGGCCUGUAAAGUUGUUAUAAAAGUACAUAUGUUAUUAUCCAUUCUCUCCUUCUUUUUAGGAUCAGAAAUCCAGCCCCUCCCCCACAGUUUUAGCUAAGCACCUGGCCUCCUCACCACAAACCACAUUUCUCAACCUCCCUUGCAGCUAGCUGUGGCCAUGUGACUAGGCUGUAACCAAUGAGAUGUGAAAAUAAAUCAUGUAUGCAACCUCUGGGUUACAGUCUUUAAAAAGGAAAUGAUUUGUUUUUUACUUCUCCUCUUUCCCCUUUCCUUGGACUAGAACUUGGACAUAGUGUUGGGGCCAGUUCAAUCAAGAAGAUGAAAUAACUGCAGAAUAGAAGAAGAAUAAGGAAGAAGGAACUAGGAUCCCUGGGAGACUUCACGGAGCAGAGGUCAAGAGGACAUGUGCUUACCCACCCUACACCACCAACUCUGAACUGUAAGGUUAAGAGAGCUACCAUAUGUGAAAUCCCAGCUAUAUACUCAGAAUUCAAAGUAAGCCUACUGAAUAUAAGGAUAUGAAGGAUGGAACUUACGAGAAAAACAGUAUGACAACAACAGCCUCUUCCUUCUCCUAUUCCCAAAGCCUCCACAGAUGAGCACCACAGAGAAACAUCCCAUUAGAGAAGCAUCUGUUACCUGAAUAAUUGUGAUUUCUGAGCAUCCAAGCUUGGUUGACUGAACUCCAGUGACCUUUCCACCACUUAAUUAUUCCCUGAAUGAAAGGCACAAGUGAGAAGACUGGAGUGUUGCAUGGAUGCUGGGAACUUUACCUGUUUCCUGGAGCUGACACAUCUAAUCCCUCGGGCAAAGCAAGCAAAAGUGAAAACCCGGGAUCAAGGUUUAGACAUCUUAUUCCACACAUUAUUAUCUCACAAGUAAGUACAGAUUAGAAACCCCUCACACUGACUCAUAUUUGAAAUACUAAAAUGAGUUUAUAUAUCAUUAAACAUUUAAAGCAUACAAAAAUAAUAAAAUAACAAACCCCUAUUUUUCUACACACAGGUUAAAGGCAAAAAAUAAUCUAGCUAAUACAUCUGAUACUUCUGAGCAGCCUUUCUCAAAUGCUGAAAUAAAAUUUUAACUAAUAUUUACAACUGCUCAAAUGUCUUGCAUGUUCCCUUGUUUCCAGAAAGUCAUCAUACCAGCAUCUAGUUCAAACGUCUGGGUUCAAAUGAAGUUCAAUAAAAUUCAAUUGUCCACUUUGUCUAUACUAUUAACACACAUUCUUUGCUUAGAAUCGUUCUCAGCAAUUCACACUUUCCAGUCAUGGACAGAUCUCCUCUAAAGGUUUCAAAACCACAGUAACAGGUCACGAGAAUCACGGUCACACAGAAAACUUUCUUAUGAUUGUACUACUUUAGUAAAAUGAGCUAACAAAACUAGGAAUAUUUUAGUACCCAUUACAAGAAUAGCUGUUCUCCUCCACCAGAGUUGAAUUUCCAUCAGCGUUACUAUCCAUCGCCAUCAGUCUCCAGGGUUUGUGGAAAAAAACAAACCUGCCCAAAGACCUUCCCUCAAAGCACAGGUAUUCCAGC